GGUGAGAUGGCCGAGCGGUCUAAGGCGCCAGACUAAGGACCAGGACGAAUACGUCCAUCAUCAUCUGGUCUCUUCGGGGGCGGGAGUUCGAAUCUCCCUCUCAUCA